GCAAGUCGAACGGAAACAUGUCUAGCUUGCUAGAUGAUGUCGAGUGGCGGACGGGUGAGUAAUACUUAGGAACAUGCCUUUGUGUGGGGGAUAACUAUUGGAAACGAUAGCUAAUACCGCAUAACGUCUACGGACCAAAGGGGGCUUUCGGGCUCUCGCGCAAAGAGUGGCCUAAGCGAGAUUAGCUUGUUGGUGAGGUAAAGGCUCACCAAGGCGACGAUCUCUAGCUGUUCUGAGAGGAAGAUC
rnacentral:rRNA from 1 species